rnacentral:lncRNA from 1 species
ACUCGAACCAGGCAAGUGAGAAGAAAUAAAACUUCCUGAGUUGGGAGGAACACAGGCCCUGUGGACCAGGAGCCGCUAGAAGCUUCUGGAGCAGAAGGGCUCAGCCCUGCAAGGGUCACUGAGGCCAGGAGGGUGGCUUCGCAGGAAGAGGAAGGACAUUCAGGCUUAGAGCACAAAUCCCAGGUGAUCCUGGAGAGCAUCUCUGGUUCUGUUCUCGUCUGUGUUUCCUACGUGUUGCGCUGGGGACAGCCAGGCACAGUGUUGCGGAUCUGUGUGAAUGGGCAACUAGAGAUCACGCAUUUUAUCACUCAUGUCCAAAGUGCUUAAAAGUUACUUUGCUGAUUUAACGUGGAAAGCGUCCAGGUAGAUUAAUUUUAUGGGCUCUUUUUAUGGGGGUAACAUUUCAAAAGACUGCUUCUGGAUGGGUGUCAUCAGAUUUCAUUUGCCCCUUUGUCUUAAUCAUUCGCUGGUCUAAAAGGUAGAAAUUUGGUCGAAUUUUUAAAAAUUUUCCUGUAAUCGCUUGUGAAAUCAAUCUGACUCCUUUUCAGUUCAGGAUUUUCUACAACUGCUAUUUUCAGCAUUUUUAAAGUCUGUAUGAGCCAAGGUAAAUUUUUUUUGACUCCUCACCCAGAAUACUCAGAAUUAUUACUAAAAUAUAUCGGGCCAAACAAAUCCAUUCUUUUCAGAAUGUAAAUUUAAAAACACAGCUCAUUUUUCACACGAGGUGACCUCAAGCAUUAUGAUGUUGAGCCACUGGGCCUGGAUGCUGAGGACUUUUCUGUUUGGAGACUAA